AAUAGAAGAAUGACAAAUCAAAUUUUUUCUUCUGAUUUUCAACUUUUUUCUCCUGAAAAAAAUUUAAAUCCAAUUAAGAAUACUAAAACUCAGGAGAAAAAAUUUAAUUUAUCAUUCUCUUAUU
rfam:Gossypium hirsutum cultivar TM-1 chromosome 11, whole genome shotgun sequence